rnacentral:lncRNA from 1 species
ACCUGAAGCUUCACCGGACCUUCCCCAUCAUCAGCAGCCAACUCCCUCUCGGGGGUGACCAUGGCAUCUAUCCUGGUUCAAGACCAAUCAGCAUCAGGGAGGACCUACUGGACUUGGGCAUAGUCGUUGUCCCAUCUCGCAUUAGCCGCCACAACAACAUCCUCCUCCAAGUCAUGGUAAGACGCCUUUAGCUAAGCUAGCUCCUCUAUCAGCCGAGCAAUAUCGCCCUUGUUCGUCUCUUCCCGUUCCUCGACCAACUGCAACUUGGUCCCAAGUUGACGCCUCUCCUCUUCAGCUAGGCCAAGGUGGUCACAUAAGGUCCUUAUCUCCCACUAUGAACACUCAAUUUUGUCCAGCUUCUUGUCAAAUAGAUAGAAAUACAAAAAAGUUCAAAACAACCAAAGUUCCUAAAAAUAACUUUUUUAUUUAGAUAUCAUGAAACCAACUUUAUCUUCAAAUCACAAUCAACGAUUAAUUAUUAAUUAGUUGCUGAAUAUAUUUUCAUCCUAUGUGCUAAAUAACUUGUGUACUCUAGAGACAUUGGUUGUAAGUGAUUGUGCUGCAUUGGAAGUUAUAUUUGAAACUCAAGGGUUAUACAAUGUGUCUAUGGAGCUUCUACAACUAAAAGUGCUUGACAUACAAUAUUGAGCACAAACCAAGAGUAUUUCGUGGACUAAUCAAAAUUUUGGAGGUUGCAGAUUUAUCCAAGCUAGGUACAUAGCAAAUUCUCGUCUUUUUCUUUACUAUGGGCAUUGCAAGAAAUAAAAGAUAAUGAACAUAUAUGAGCCAUUCAAGCAAGUUAACAUAUGAAGAGACAACUUUAAAGUUGAAGGUGGCUCGAAUUCAAUUGCUUCACCAGUGUUACUAACGAAUACUAGUAUGGAGGUCAAAUGUGAAUAUAUUCCUCAUGAACCAUGGGAGCCAUCCUUGUGGAAAUGAUCAAGAGACUACAAGUGCUAACAAAGAUGCUAGUAAGGUGCUAAGACACCUAACUCAGGACCGCGAGGCUGCUGAAAAGUCGUCUGCGGUAAAAGGCUCAUGAUAUUUGAUCUGUCAUCCAUAAGCGCGGAGUUGUUACAAAUAGAUAUUAAUGAUCAAAGUUGUGUUGGCAAAUAUCAGAAAUUAAUAUGGAAUAGCAAAUAGUAAGAAGAUUACAAACUAACUAAUUACAUGAUGACUCCAAGAGAAAGAGCAACCAACCAAGAGUUACACAUCAGGGAUAAUUAAACAAGUGCAAACCAGAAGGCAUAUUGAUUUCAGUUACACAGUCAACCUAAUUGCAGCAAUAAAGGGCAAUCACAUAGUAGAAUUCUUGCAAGUUACUGAAUCAAAAUUGGCAGCCUAGGGGUCUACCUUCAAAAAGUAUAAAAUGGGUGCAUUACCACACAGAGAGGACAACCACACAAGAGAGAAAACAGAUUACCCAAAAGCGAAAAAAUUAGAGACAUCAGGGCAUACUGAUAUCAUGCAUAAUACACAACAUUGAGAGAAAAUACAUAUCACAGAACAUAGCAGAUAUGUCAUAUAGAACAACCAUCAGAGAAACAUAACAACAGAGAUUACACCACACAAAAAAUUAGAGAAGAAAAACACAAAAAAGAUACACACAUAUCAUGACAAUCAGGGGAACAUAUACACAUAUAUGUUGAUACCUACACAUAUCAUACAGUGAGAUAGGAGUGCACAAGCCACAAAAAGAGCAAAUACACUACAAGUAAUCACAGAACACUCACAGAUUAUACACCUGCAACAUAAGCCGUCGUAGAUCACACAUAUAUACACCUAUAAUCACGCAUGCACAACAAGAAGGCAUUCCAACACGCGUGUCAUAUACACACACAGGUUCGUCCUCCGUUACUCAACCAUAUUAGAAUCAUUUCAUUUUUUUAUUUGUGUUCCUAUCAUUAUGUGUUUAUAAACCCGGAACUUUAUUUGAAAAGUGGCCAACACACCAUAUGCAAACACACGAAAAAAACAUACUUGAAAUGGUUAUGAUAAUUCUAAUAAGAGAAACCUUGACUUUAUUUCUACCAACCUAUCACUAAUGGGUAAAACAUAACAAAUACACAACCAAAUAGUAGAGAACAUCGAAUUUUUGAUCAAAGUAAACACAAAACCGCACACAACUAAUACAAUAGAACAAAUUUAAUAGUCAGUAAUAGGUCACAAAAGCUAUAAGGCAGGGGUUUAACCCGUUCACAUCCCACAUUCCACAUUCUUCAUACUCACAUGGUUCACGUUGACCCAUAAAACCCGAAGUCCCCUUGCUCUCGAGUCUGAAUCUUUCCCUUGAUAGAAAAGGGAGUAUAAAUUGCCAAAUUGAGCCUUCAUCCCAACACCAAAAAGGGAUAGGCUGCCCUUAUCUUCAAGGACCACCAUGAACCUCUUUUGAAAAGACAUGGCAUGCCUUCGCCGGCGUGAUUGAGGCCACCAUGGGCCGUUCUUCGUGCCGCCGCUGGGUAUGAGAUUUGGGGGUUAGGGAUUUGGCCCUCCCCCUUUCUGAUUCAAACGUGAUAAUGGGGUACCUUUAGUUUUCUUUCUAUUCUU